rnacentral:lncRNA from 1 species
AAGGAAAGGGUGCUUCUGUGGAGAUCCCUCCUUUUGGAGUGUUUAGUGAGCCCUGAUCAUUGGAUGGGUGACCACAAGUCUUCUGCAAGUGCUGAAAAGCAGUUUGCUGCCCCUGCAUCACCAGCUGUGCAGACACGUUUAGUACCUGUGCUCGACGGACGGUGAGCAGCCACCUUGUGCUGAGUGGUACCUGGGGGGGAGACUGAGCAUGCAGCCUCUGCUAGGUGCCAUGCAUGCCUUAUUCUGAUGUAUACAAAGGCUGAUGGGAUCCGGCCCAAAGGUGUAGGUGGGAGAAUCAUUACAAGAUGAUGUGCUGGGCUCUGCUUUAGAAGCUGGGAUUUAUGUUGGAGCUCUUCCUUCUGACCUGGAGCUGCCUUGCAAGCUGCCAUUGCUCUGACUUUCUCAAUGGAACCUCAUGGGUGGUGAAGUGAGUUGAGAAAAUCCAAACCAAAACUGCUUAAAGAUGCCUCUUCUGCCCUGCCUCGUGUUGGAAGAACUCCUCAUAUCUGUGCCUGCCUCUUCUCCAUGGUGGUUUUAACACCAGGACUGCCACACCACUCUGGCUGAGGCAACAAGGAAGGCCACAACCUAACUGUAUUUUAAAUAACCACGUAAUGCUUCAGUAUCUCAACUACUUCUUGUGAAGCAGCUUCUAUCAUAUCUGAAAGAUGAGUUAUAAUUUGGAGAUUGGCCUUGGUGAUCUCCAGAGGUCCCUUUCAACCCUUAUGGUUCUGUGGUUAUCAGUCGUGGGUAAGCAGAACUGGCAGCUGAAUGAGGUACUGGGGCUUAAACGAUGCACUGAGCUUGGGAAUGGUCUGAGGGCUGGCACACCUCUACAGCAGUGCUUUCUAUUUGUGUUCUUCAAGCACGUUUUUGCUGGAGAACACACAGGGCCACACAGUGAUGGAUGGGGUGUGCUGUCAUUUUGAGUCACCGGCAUUUUGGGAUGGAAUAGGAAAGCUCUUUAAAAGCAGCCAGUGUCACAUUUGCAGCUUCAUUUUCAUGGGCGAAUAUUGCUUUGAGACUAAUGUAAGCUCUGUGUAUUAUUUGGUACUGAAAGUGUGCUAUGGAAUUUCAUUUCAAAGUACUCUCAGGGUCAUUUAUGCGCAUAUAAUGGGUGGAUAAGUCAAACAAAGAGCCCUUCUCUGCCACUCUGGGCACCAGGUCACGCUGAGGCAUCCAUGCUGGGAGCCAGAAUAGAGACCAGCACAAGUUUGUUGCUUCACUAUCCUGCUUUCUGCCCCCAAUACCCAUCUGCUCAGCUCUGCUUCUGCAGAGCAUGGAGGCAGUGGCUGAGGUUUGUGAUACUGAGGAGGAGGGGAAGGUGGUGCAGUCAAUGGUGAGGGCUGAUGUGUUCUGGGGGCAGCUGGUAGGAAGCUGGCAUCAGUGUGCUCUGUGAGCCCACCCUGAGCUGGCAUUCCAUUGAGAGCCUUUUUAGAGGCUGUGUGUUGUUUUGUCUAAUAGAAAACAAGCUUUGCAAAUGAGCUGCUGAGCACUUUAGCAGGGAGUAUUUUUUUUUUUGCAUGUUUGCAAUAUUCAGUUCAGGCAUUGACAGCUGUGAACUUCACAAUGAGACUGACACUUGAGAUCUGUGUAAAGGUCAAUUUUUUAAUUGUGCCUUAUAGAUAAAAGAAAUAUCUACAUCGAUAUAGUCUAAUCGCAUUGAUUUCAGCACGGAGUUUUCAAUUAUUAUUCAGAAUUCUCUGUUAUCUCGUUGCAGUCCCACAGCCUUAGCAGGCAGUGCAAUGCUCCAUGAGAUAACCUUUAACUCAUGCUGCUGGGUCAAAAGUGAGUUGUGAUGAGUACUCCCUGCCCUUCCACAGUGAACUGUCUGGGUAAGGAAGGCAUCUGUUGCUGCAGUGCAGAUCAUGAUGCACUGAGGAUGCCUUCAGUUCUGAUACGGUAUAUUGGCUGUUUGCAGGUCUGCUGGUGUACAAAUAAGCCAAGAUCUCUUCCAUGCAGGAAGCUGCACUGCAGGGCAGUGGGAGGAAUGACUGUGAUUAUCCCAUUACAAAGAGAAGGAUGUCUUAACAUUGGAAUCAUUGCUCGUGUUUUAGAGUGACCUUGUAAAGUAUGGUUCAUCACAGGGGGAUCGAUACUAAAUAAUAAUGCUUCUGCUUAGUUCCAGUAAAUACCUUGGGUUUAUCUAGGAGGUAUCACUCAGCUGUUUCCAACAGCUUCUAUGUGAUCUGCUGAAGCCAAAACACAUCUGCUUCUAAUAGGUGUGCCUGUAGGACUCUGCUGUUAGUGGUGUUCAGGGUAGCCAGAGGUACUCCCUGUUGUCUCAGUAGGAAACCUUUCAGUGUAUGAAGGACAAUGUUUCCAUGAAAAUAUCAAUACAAUGGUGGGCACACCUCCAUUGACAGUUCACAGCCCAGUAUUUCCUCCGGGCUGUUGGAGUGUGGUAUAAUGUCAAAGGUCUGCCUGUCCCUUGCUGGACAUGGGAUGGAGGUGCUUGGGGCUGCUAUGGGCUGGGCAGCCCAACAUCAUGUAUGUAUAUAUGGCCAGGCAGGAUGUGGCUCUGGGCAGCCUGGUCUGGUGGUUGGUGACCCUGCACGUAGCAGGGGGUUGGAACUGGAUGAUCUUUGAGAUCUUUUUCAACCCAG